UACGGGAGGGUGCAAGCGUUAUCCGGAUUCACUGGGUUUAAAGGGUGCGUAGGUGGGCAAGUAAGUCAGUGGUGAAAUCUCCGGGCUUAACCCCGGAAACUGCCAUUGGAUACUAUUUGUCUUGAAUACUGUGGAGGUCAGCGGAAUAUGUCAUGUAGCGGUGAAAUGCUUAGAUAUGACAUAGAACACCAAUUGCGAAGGCAGCUGGCUACACAAAUAUUGACACUGAGGCACGAAAGCGUGGGGAUCAAACAGG
rnacentral:rRNA from 1 species